rnacentral:rRNA from 1 species
UACGUAGGGUGCAAGCGUUAAUCGGAAUUACUGGGCGUAAAGCGUGCGCAGGCGGUUUUGUAAGACAGUGGUGAAAUCCCCGGGCUCAACCUGGGAACUGCCAUUGUGACUGCAAGGCUAGAGUGCGGCAGAGGGGGAUGGAAUUCCGCGUGUAGCAGUGAAAUGCGUAGAUAUGCGGAGGAACACCGAUGGCGAAGGCAAUCCCCUGGGCCUGCACUGACGCUCAUGCACGAAAGCGUGGGGACAAACAGGAUUAGAUAC